GUGCCAGCAGCCGCGGUAAUACGAAGGUCCCAAGCGUUAUCCGGAUUUAUUGGGUUUAAAGGGUGCGUAGGCGGCUUAUUAAGUCAGUGGUGAAAGCUCCAUGCUUAACGUGGAAAUUGCCAUUGAUACUGAUGAGCUUGAGUAGAUUUGAAGUGGGCGGAAUGUGUCGUGUAGCGGUGAAAUGCUUAGAUAUGACACAGAACACCGAUUGCGUAGGCAGCUCACUAAACUCUUACUGACGCUGAGGCACGAAAGCAUGGGGAUCAAACAGGAUUAGAAACCCUGGUAGUCC
rnacentral:rRNA from 1 species